rnacentral:tRNA from 1 species
GGUGAGGUGGCUGAGUGGCCGAAAGCGGCUCCGUGCUAAGGAGUUGUCCGCGCAAGUGGACCGUGGGUUCGAAUCCCACCCUCACCGCCA